rnacentral:rRNA from 1 species
CGUCCUAUUAGCUAGUUGGUGAGGUAAUGGCUCACCAAGGCUACGAUGGGUAGGGGUUCUUAGUGGAAAGUCCCCCACACUGGCACUGAGAUACGGGCCAGACCCCUACGGGAGGCAGCAGUAGGGAAUAUUGGUCAAUGGGCGCAAGCCUGAACCAGCCAUGCCGCGUGCAGGAUGAAGGCUCUCUGAGUUGUAAACUGCUUUUGUACAGGAGCAAAAAGAUCCCUGCGGGGGUUCUUGAGAGUACUGUAAGAAUAAGCACCGGCUAAUUCCGUGCCAGCAGCCGCGGUAAUACGGGAGGUGCAAGCGUUAUCCGGUUUUAUUGGGUUUAAAGGGUGCGUAGGCGGCUUAUUAAGUCAGUUGUGAAAUCCUAGUGCUUAACGCUAGAACUGCGAUUGAUACUAUU